AGUAGGGAAUCUUCGGCAAUGGACGCAAGUCUGACCGAGCAACGCCGCGUGAGUGAAGAAGGUUUUCGGAUCGUAAAACUCUGUCGUUAGAGAAGAACAAGGAUGAGAGUAGAAUGUUCAUCCCUUGACGGUAUCUAACCAGAAAGCCACGGCUAACUACGUGCCAGCAGCCGCGGUAAUACGUAGGUGGCAAGCGUUGUCCGGAUUUAUUGGGCGUAAAGCGAGCGCAGGCGGCUUCUUAAGUCUGAUGUGAAAGCCCCCGGCUCAACCGGGGAGGGUCAUUGGAAACUGGGAAACGUGAGUGCAGAAGAGGAGAGUGGAAUUCCAUGUGUAGCGGUGAAAUGCGUAGAUAUAUGGAGGAACACCAGUGGCGAAGGCGGCUCUCUGGUCUGUAACUGACGCUGAGGCUCGAAAGCGUGGGGAGCAAACAGGAUUAGAUACCCUGGUAGUCCACGCCGUAAACGAUGAGUGCUAAGUGUUGGAGGGUUUCCGCCCUUCAGUGCUGCAGCUAACGC
rnacentral:rRNA from 1 species